AACUAUCAGACUGUCUGUGAUUCGCUAGCGCGGAAAAAAAUUAUGUACGUGGCUUCCGGGCGAUAAUUGACGUAACGACAACAUGCUGAAUGUUCUCGCUUAAUCAUAAUUAUGGCCUAGUUUGUUUGAAGUUCAAUCGAUUCUCGAUGUAGGAAGCUCUUGUUCAGUCCAUUUAGGACAAUGCAGGCCUUUAGUAAGCUAUAGUUAAGCUCUCCGCCGCAGUUUUGAUAUCUGUACGUUUGUGUUGAUUUAGACUCGAAUUCUUCAUGUGGGAAGCUGUCUUAAUUAAAUUGUACAAUUCGUGAUUCAAUGAAAAAAGGUAAAUUUAGUCUUCCUGGCCUCAAAAGUCAUAUAGGAGAGUUAUUUCCUUUUAUGUGAGUCACGAUAAGCCUUGUGGAAAGCUAGCUCUUGCACAGAAUUAUAUAAAGAUUGUCAGUUACAAGUCAAAUUCUGUGGCUAUGUAUUUGCGAAUCCAGACAGAUAUAUACAUGCAAAAAUACUCAGCAAGCUGAUUGGCUGAGAGCUCGUCAAUUAAUCUUGGCCAAUGCAGAAAGUCGAAAUUGAGUGCAGGAAGUUUAAAUUGAGUGCAGAAAGUUGAAAUUAAAUGGCUUUUAUAUUAUUAACAAGUGAUCAAGUGAUUUUCCUCUUGCAAUUUAGAAUAACUAAGCACUCGCAAUGUUUCAAAAACUACAAUUAAUCUUUUGAAAAAUUUCUUGUACUUAUCAAAUCUAAAUUGCGCUCGAAAUCAUUUUAUUGCCUAAGCAAUAACGUUCAUGGAAUUUCCACUAUGUCUAGGUUUAUAGCCUGCAAAAGGUCUUAGAUAAACUUUGCAAUAGUAAAUGUAUGGUAAGACACCAUGGUAAGACACUCCACCUUCUACUUGGAGGUGGAGUGCAUUCUGCCUUUAAGUUGUAGCUCAUCCGCACAGAUCUACCCGACGUGACUGACCCAAAAGAACAAGAUGGUUUUAGAGUGCUAAACUGAAUUCAACAAGAACCCAAGUUUGAGUAUAUGGGAUCGAGCAAUAUUUUGAACAAACUUUAACAAAUUACGUGCACGGUUAUAUAUCUACCCAGAUCUAACCGACGUGACCAACUCUAAACCACAAAAUCAAUGCAAAACUUCAAGUGAAUUCAACGCUGAGAAACCCAGUUUGAGUAUAUGGAACCGAGCAAUGUUUUGAAUAAAUGUUAGGAAAUCACUUGCACGCUUAUUUACACAGACCUAUCCGACGUGACCGACUCUAAACCACAGGAUGUGUUUACAAUGCUAUUAUACUUUAAUGAAUUCAGCGAGAACCUAAGUUUGAGUAUAUAAGGGACCUAACAAUAUUUUGCACAUGCUUAAGGAAAUCACGUACAAGGGAGCUUAUCUACACAGAUCUAACCGACGUGACAGACUCUAGACCACAAAACUGGAUUUACAAUGCUAAACUUCAAAUGAAUUCAAUGAGCUGAGCACAUCAGUUAUGGGAGUGAGUAAUAUUUGGAACAAACUUAAUAAAUCCACGGGAGUCAGCCAGCAUUUUUAAGCGCCAUUUACAAAAUUUUCUAAGACUGUCUUAUCAAACACUGUCGAACAGUCUAUAAGACAUUACCUUUCUUUGUUUACUUAAAUCAAAAAACGCCGUGAAAUUUUCAGAGGAAUUUCACUUGUUUCUAGGCGGCUGAUAAGACAAUAAGUGCGCAGAAGGAUGAGUGGAAAUAUCUAGACAGAACCUUGAGUUUUCUCAAACUGUCACAACUUUAUCUAAAACUCUUUACAAACACCAACAGAAGACGAUUGCCCUCUUUUAUUAUUGUUUCUUAAGUUUUUACUCUAGGUUGUUCGUAUCAUUUAGAAUGUCUUUUGGAUUGACCAAAACUCUUCACCAAGUAGCGCAUUUUAUUUGAUUAUUUUUACUUGCUUUGAUGAUACCGAACACAAAUUGUAUCAGUAACCAACAUCGUCGACUUCCUCCAUCACAUUAAUGUUAUUUGCACGUACGUGAAAAUACAUGAAGGUUGAUAUUAGUGAGGCUCUCUGAUACCUCUGAGAAGAACCAAUAUCUGGAAAUGAGGUCAUCAAAGUAAGGUGAACAAAGAAUAGUAAGUUACACAGCUAUCGGAUUUAUACUAAAAAUGAAUUCAAUUCAAUUUCGAUGAAAGACAAAUUUUCGUCUAAGACACUGAACGGCGUUCAAGUGGGACCGGCGACAAUUUGCGAACACGAGAUGUCGUCGUGAUGGAAAUGAUUGACAUCUGUCAGUAAAAGAAUAUUUCAUUUCCUAAAACAAGGUAUACAAUGUCUGCUUGUCUCUCUAUAUAUCACGAUUUAGUUCAUAAACAUCAGUAGUUUGUAUUUAAGGCAUCGAGAAUUGUGAUUAAAAUAUCUCGUGCAUCUGAAAGCGAGGAGAUCCUCUACAAAAUGGUCCACCCAGUGCUACCAAGAGAACAAUCUUAUUUGACUGUUGUCAAUACACCGUAACAGCUUCAUCAUGCAACUUUGCCUUGCUAUUUUGCUGAUUGUGGCCGCUAUUUGCCAUGGAAAAUCGACUAACAACAUCCCCGAGAAUGAUUCGGAACAAAUGGACGUGGCAUUAAACGAGGAUCCUCCCUGUAAAGGUAAUUUGUGUGCAGAAGACACAUCCUAAAGAACAAACCACGAUCUUGCGUCGAUCAUCUUAGGAAUGGCGCCAAACGCAGUGGCUACUAAGGAUUUACGAUGCUGUUGGAAAUGGAUUCACUGUGUACUGUGAUAUGGAGACUGAGCCUGGUGCAGCAUGGACUCUUGUAGUAUCUUGGAGCCUUGAAAAUAAGGGUUUCUCGAACUUUAGGACCUCCCCCUCUCAGUGAACGAUCCGGUCAACAAAAACUCGCCUAACUGGCUCCUUUAUCGACAGACCUCUG